rnacentral:rRNA from 1 species
CGCGGCCUAUCAGCUUGUUGGUGGGGUAAUGGCCUACCAAGGCGACGACGGGUAGCCGGCCUGAGAGGGUGACCGGCCACACUGGGACUGAGACACGGCCCAGACUCCUACGGGAGGCAGCAGUGGGGAAUCUUGCACAAUGGGCGAAAGCCUGAUGCAGCGACGCCGCGUGAGGGAUGACUGCCUUCGGGUUGUAAACCUCUUUCAGCAGGGAAGAAGCGAAAGUGACGGUACCUGCAGAAGAAGCACCGGCUAACUACGUGCCAGCAGCCGCGGUAAUACGUAGGGUGCGAGCGUUGUCCGGAAUUAUUGGGCGUAAAGAGCUUGUAGGCGGUUUGUCGCGUCUGCCGUGAAAUUUCGAGGCUCAACCUCGAACUUGCGGUGGGUACGGGCAGACUAGAGUGUGGUAGGGGAGACUGGAAUUCCUGGUGUAGCGGUGAAAUGCGCAGAUAUCAGGAGGAACACCGAUGGCGAAGGCAGGUCUCUGGGCCACUACUGACGCUGAGAAGCGAAAGCAUGGGGAGCGAACAGGAUUAGAUACCCUGGUAGUCCAUGCCGUAAACGUUGGGAACUAGGUGUGGGUCUCAUUCCACGAGAUCCGUGCCGCAGCUAACGCAUUAAGUUCCCCGCCUGGGGAGUACGG